UACGUAGGGUGCAAGCGUUGUCCGGAAUUAUUGGGCGUAAAGAGCUCGUAGGCGGCUUGUCGCGUCGGCUGUGAAAACCUGGGGCUCAACCCCGGGCCUGCAGCCGAUACGGGCAAGCUAGAAUUCGGUAGGGGAGACUGGAAUUCCUGGUGUAGCGGUGAAAUGCGCAGAUAUCAGGAAGAACACCAAUGGCGAAAGCAGCUCUCUGGGACGGUACUGACGCUGAGACGCGAAAGCGUGGGGAGCGAACAGG
rnacentral:rRNA from 1 species